GACGAACGCUGGCGGCAUGCCUAAUACAUGCAAGUCGAACGAGCUGACAGAGUGCUUGCACUCUCGACGCGAGUGGCGGACGGGUGAGUAACACGUGGGAAACCUACCUAUAAGUAUGGGAUAACAUUCGGAAACGGAUGCUAAUACCAUAUAGAUUUUAGUUCCGCAUGGAACUGAAAGAAAAGACGGCUUUGCUGUCGCUUAUAGAUGGUCCCGCGGCGCAUUAGCUAGUUGGUGAGAUAAAAGCUCACCAAGGCUAUGAUGCGUAGCCGACCUGAGAGGGUAACCGGCCACACUGGGACUGAGACACGGCCCAGACUCCUACGGGUGGCUG
rnacentral:rRNA from 1 species